UAUGGCUUUUUAUUCCUAUGUGAUAGUAUUUUGGCCUCACAUAGGGGUGAAAGCCAUGGG
rnacentral:pre_miRNA from 1 species